CAAGAAUCAUCCGAAUCGAUCGUAUAUCACUCGAUUAAACGGUUGUAUAUAAAGGAGAGAAGAAGAGAAUCGCGGCAAUCCCCGGAGGCUUUGGAUCUUUACAGCACUCUUCGGCAUUGCAUCUGAGACACUUCGAGCAGUCUCCUGCGCUUUUUUUGGACGCCCUCGAUCAGCUCUUCCUUUUUUCCUCUCUGCAACUCUUUCUUGUUGCUCUCUUCUUUUUCUUGGUGCGUCUUUUGGUGUCCAUUCGGCUUCUAGUUCAGUUUACAGGAUCUGCACGCUUCCUGUUUGACGUAAUGCUUGAGACAAGGGAUAACUCCUUAUUGACCUCUUGAUUCCCUUCUACUUCAUAUCUCGAUCCAAACAAGGGUAAAGGUCCACAAGACCUAUAGAUGUUGAAGAUAGAAGAGGUGACACAAUUAGUAUAUAUGGUAUGAGUAGAGGUAGAGGAAGACCUAAAGAGAACUAAAUGCUUUUAAAUUAAUUAAGGAUAUUACAUUUUAUUCAGCUCAAUGAUAAUAAAAUAAAAAAUCUAUGAUAUAUUUAUGACAUUUCAGCUUGUUAUUGUUGUUGUAAAGGUCCAGACAACCGCUGAUAAUUCUGAGCUGGAUUUUGCUGCAGUUACUGUUGGUUAUUUGAUUUUAUUUGACUGUUGGUCAGAAUAUAUCACUACUCACUUUCUUGCAUCUUACCUUCUUCAUUUGUGUAACUUGUGGAAUUAUUGUAGUUGCUGGCAAAGGAGGAACAUGUACUAGUCAGGCAAGCAUGGAUGGUUGGCGCAAGGAAAUUAUAUUGUGAAGGAACUUCAGUAACUUAAACCUUGUGCUGGACUGCAUUGUUGAUGCAAUGAUUGUGCUGAGCAUCUAAUUUAAAGGUUCAUUAUUAAAUGUGGGUAUUAUCAGCUUAACUUUAGUAUUUACUACAUUGUGUGUGUGUUUUUUUUUUGUAGAAAACCAAUAGAGAAAGAAAUGGGCCUUAUUGGUUUCUUCCCGCUAAUUUUGGGUUUUAGUCAUUUUAUGCACAGAAGAAGUUAGGAAAUUUAUACCAGGGAAUUACAGAGAAGAAGCUUGAUGAGAUCCAAGGAGAGCCUACAAGGUAGGUAUGCCUCUAAGUGCAUCUAUACAUGUUAGGAAAAUAAUGCUCUGCCUUUUCUUAUUAACUGAAAAUACUUUUUGAUUUUUACACCUCUUUCUUUCUUCCUUCAGACCUAGUUUUGAUAGUGUUCCUUUUCUCUUUUUAAUCUGGGAAAUAAAAUCAGUGUCAAGAGUUGACAAAGUUAAUCUAAAGAAUCAACCUUGCAAUGUUUCCAAUUAAGUAAUCUAUUCAAGAUACCAUAAAAGUAACUAAGAGCUGUUGGUUCUACUUGUUGCCUACAAGAAGAUAAUUAUGCUUAAAUUGGUGUAAGUAAAUUAAAACGUUGUUGGUACAUAGUGACUUCUAUGUUGGUUACUAACCAUUUGAUUUGGCAAAUAAAUAAAAUACAAAUGAUAUGCCUUUUCACUCAUGAAGAAAACAAAUAGAAUCAGACAAGUGCCACAUAAGAUAAUCAAAAUAUAUGUAGCAAAACAAUAAAACUGAAAAUGUUCAUAGCUCCUUUUAUUAUUUAUCAUUGGUGAUUGUGAUGCCAGGAUAGACAUUGACAGAGAGCGUUAAUCAGACAAAUAUAAGAAUAUAGUUAAAGACUCAAAGUACUAAUGGAAUGCUGAAAGCAAUUAACUGACUGAAACCAUGCAACACUGAUGUUGACCAUUAGACAGGCUUAAAUAAACUAAAGAACCAUAGUUACAUGGAAGUGCAUGUGAUGCAAUCGAACAAAUGUAUAUGUGAAGAAUAAAAGCAAAAGGCAAGAAUAUUGAAAACCAAUUGCUACUUGUCAUUUCUCAUUUCCAAACUUAUGUGUUUUCAGUACAAGAAAUCCAACUAUCUUGGUUAGUUUAGAACUGCAUUUUCCAGAUUGACAAGAAAGUCUAAAGCAAUUUCAUCUUUCAAUAAUUAAAAUUACUUGUGAACUUUUUUUCCCAAAGUAUUAUAUUAUCAUUGGCAAAGUUGGACUUAUCGGUCUGAGCCAGAGUGCUGGCUGGCAGCAUGGCAUGUGCCGCUCAGUACCAAUAAACCGACACACGGUAUGCCGGUGUGUACCGGUGUUUCGACGAGGAAGAGAAAGAGGUUGAAGAGGAAGGUCUGGUAGAGGAAUAGUGGAGGAAGAAGGAGAAAGGAAGAAGGAAGAAGAAGAAGAAGAAAGAAAAGGAGGAGGAGAAGAAGUGCAGUGAUGCCCGGGAAGCAGCGGCAGUGUCAAAGGGAAGCAACAGCAUCGCAGUGGCGACAAGGCAGCGCCGCUGCAGCAUCACAGCGAUGAAGCAGCAAAGAGGUAGCGCCGCUGCAAUGGCGAAGCAGCGGAGAGGUAGUGCCGCUGCAACAACGGCAACGGUGAGGCGGCAAAGCGGUAGAAGAGGCAGCAGCAAAACGGCGAAGAGGCAGCGCUGCAGCUUCGUAUGCGAGAAGAGCCCUAACUUGCUUUUUCUUUCUUUUUUUUAUUCUGAAAUGGAUUGGGACUCACCACUUUUUGAUUUUUUAUUAUUUUAAUUCGAACCAUCCGAAACGGAGUGGUGUGCAUAUCGGUCUAUGCUCGGACCGGUACAUACCGCCCAAAUCGUAUCAUUUUAGGCGGUACAGAAAUCCUUGAUUAUUCGUAUCUUGAACAUUCUUUGAUGAAGAUAUCAAAUUGUCAUGUGCAUAAUUCUAAAUGUUAUUUGGUAACC